UACGAAGGGGGCUAGCGUUGUUCGGAAUUACUGGGCGUAAAGCGCGCGUAGGCGGCUUUGUCAGUCAGGGGUGAAAUCCCGGGGCUUAACCUCGGAACUGCCCUUGAUACUGCAAGGCUUGAGUCCGUGAGAGGAUGGUGGAAUACCCAGUGUAGAGGUGAAAUUCGUAGAUAUUGGGUGGAACACCAGUGGCGAAGGCGGCCAUCUGGCACGGUACUGACGCUGAGGUGCGAAAGCGUGGGGAGCAAACAGG
rnacentral:rRNA from 1 species